rnacentral:rRNA from 1 species
UACGUAGGGCGCAAGCGUUGUCCGGAAUUAUUGGGCGUAAAGAGCUCGUAGACGGCCUGUUGCGUCCGCUGUGAAAUCCCGGGGCUUAACCCCGGGCUUGCAGUGGAUACGGGCAGGCUGGAGGCAGGCAGGGGAGAACGGAAUUCCCGGUGUAGCGGUGAAAUGCGCAGAUAUCAGGAGGAACACCAGUAGCGAAGGCGGCACUCUGGGCCGGUACUGACGCUGAGGAGCGAAAGCGUGGGGAGCAAACAGG